AGAGGAAGCGGCCACCCAACCCCCAACCGCAGCCCAGCCCCAGCCCGUUCCCCUCCCCACCCAUGCCGCUGCCGCCGGAGCCACCCACUGCCCCGCCUCCCUCACACAGACCUCGCCGCCGGCUAUGGCCUUCACCAACAGCCGCCGCUCCGACCCUCUCCCCCUCCCGUCCCCUUAUCACAAGACAAGAGAAGAGAAGAGGGAGGGAAAUCGAUCGCGACCGAGCAGGUCAAGCGGCGACAAUGGCGCGCCUAGACCCGCCAGUGCCGUCAUCGUCGAGCUGGGCUGGGCGGCACAGUUCGGUAGAGUAGGAAUGAGGGGGCGGUGGGACGCCUCCCCUGCUCGAGCUGCUCCAAGCGAGCGACCACAGCGCCGGAUCCACCUCCACAACCACCCACCGGCGGCCACGGAAGGUUAGGGACCUUCGUCCGGUCCAUGUGCUUCUUCUCCAUGGAGCUCCGACACCGCAGCAGCUGCAUCCAUGGAAGUGCCGACGCCAUGGACCUCGUCAAUCAUGGUUUGCUGCUACCGCCGACCGUUUCCCUGACAAGUUGACACCAAAGCCACCAUUGUCAAAGUCGCCGUUGGCCGGCGUUGCCACUGGUCGCUGCUCCACGCAUCUUGUCGGUGCUGCGAGGCGAUGCCAUCUGCAUCUGUUGCUGCAGCCUGGGAGGUGGCAGGGUCUCCAGGUGAUGCCCUCUUUGCUGCCCAAUCGUUGAAGAUGCCAUAGGACGAGAUCCUCUGCUGCUGCUGUGUCUCGUGGUUGAAGAAGGGGUGUGCUGGGAAGAGGAGGCAGUGUUGAGAGUGCUCGAUAUGGAACAGGACGAGCUUGGGCUGCAUCGGCUCUGGUUCUCAACCUCCAACAUGAGUCCCUUUUUUUCGUGCCUCGAACGCCACGAGUCAUCAUGGGCACUGCAGAUGCGGAGGAGUUUUUCCGGGGCGAUUUGCUUGUUCCCAGCCGCGCUGGUGUCAACUACCUCGAGCCACUAUGACCAUCCCAACCACGCUCACCCCCCUGAAUGAACUAUUUGUGGAUCUGCAAAGGGGGAUUCAAUUAAUUUUCAGUUGUAGAAAAGGGAGAAGGGGGAUUCAAUUAAUUUUCCUCCUCAAGAUCAAAGAAACAAAAUCUUUGUGGCGAUGAUAGAAGGGGUUCACGACUUCACGUUAAUACACAGACUAUUGGUAAGGGCAUUAAAACAUAUAUCUGGUGUGAAAUGGUCGUACAUGCUUGAUUAGAAUAUUUUCAAGUGUUGUAGGUGUACGGCUGUGGGGAAACAUUUUCAUGGUCUAAUUUUCUAAUUAAUGUAUGCACGAGACAUGAAUCUUGGAUUCUAAACUUUUUCCUCGAUGUUUGGGCUUCCUCUAAAUUUUCGUAUAUUGCACACAACACAACACAUAGAUUCAUGUCUUCCAUGCUUGCUGUCUUGUAACAAACAGAUGUUGGGAUGGAUACUAAUUUUCUAAAUGAUUUGAACUCAUGUUGUUUUCUAUUCUACUGUCAUUGGUUCAUCAUUCUGAACCAUUCAGUUGUUGGAACUCCGGCAUAUAUUGGUCCUGAAGUUAUGCUGAAGAAAGAAUAUGACGCAAGCUAUGAUCCAUCCUAUUUUGUGCUUUAAACGGUUUGUUGCAUACUCUGACAUCUGCUGCAUAACUUAAUUCUGUUUGCUCGGCCAUAAAAGCCUUACUUGAUUUCUGAAUCUUCCAUUCACCUUUCGUUGUCAUGAGUGGUGAAUGGUCUUGAGGAGUAACCAUUUAGAUACUGUAUGUUUUUUUGCUCAAACACGAUCUCGACAUUGAUAAUAGCAGAGAGAUAAUAUACGCCUUAUAAUCUUGUAACUGUAGAAAAAAGUAUAGAUAACCCCCAGAAGUAUCCCGUUUGGAUCACAUAACCCCCUCAUGUUUAAAACCGAGUUCUUAAUCCCCUGAACUAUUCUAAACCAGACAUAUCACCCCCUGGCACCCACUUAAGUAGUUUGGGACGAUGGUUUUGCAUAUGUGGCGCUUGGGCUGGGCCCAUCGACCGGCCACGUCGGACUGGGCCUGCUGGGUGCGGUGUAAAUGACGCCCUUGAGCAAGUUCGACCCAGACUCGGCCUCUUCGCCUCCCAAUUUAGCGUGAGCUUUUUAAUUUUUCAGCAGUGUACUACAGCAAAUUGUUGAUCAUUAUACUGUUCUGUAUGCAAUGCUAUGUUAAAGAAGGAAACUUUUGACAACAAAUAUUUUAUGACUGUACUAUUCUGUAUGGAAUGGUGUGUUACAAGAUAUUUUAUCAGAAGUGUACAUAUUAUUGGCAUCAAAUUCAGAAAUAGACAGCAAAUUUCCAUAGCAUUGAAGAUCUUAAAUUCACACAAUAAGUUCCAUGGAAUACUCAGGUUCAACCUGAUAAAAGCUACAGGUCUUUGACAUGCAAAACUCCACAAACGACACUUAAUUGUCAAGGAAUUUGAUGUUUCACAUCAAAUAAAAGCACACACUUCUAUCUGGUGUUACACAUCAACUACGUGACAUUGAAAAACAAUCUGGGCAUUCACUUUUUCCCAGUGAGAAGUCAUUCCAGCCUGUUAUUUCUUUGCACUUGCAUCUGCUGUGAGCUUGAAGAAGCCCUGUUGUGAAUGCCCAGAUUGUAUGUGCAUCUGCUGUGAGCUUGAAGAAGCACUUGCAUCAACUACGUAACAUGCAGAAGUAGUUGUGGUGUUCCUUCCACCUUAUGAAUUAGUCUGUGAAGAGGUGAAUAGUCGGAGCCCCAUGGAGCCAAACAAACAUUAUGUUCAGGCUACAGAUUAUAUUCAUACUACAGCUUGAGUCUGAAUUUGUAUUGAUACAUGAAAAUGUCAUGUGUGCCAAGAAAAGUAUGUUAGCUGUACAAUCAAUUUUGGUGUGCAUUUCUUAUUUAUUUUUGAGUCGGACGUGUGCAUUUCUAAUUAGAAGUAGAAGAAGAAAGAUGUGACACGGACUUCCUAAGAUCACAUACAUAUAGUUGAAUAGUAUAAUUAGAAUAAUAAUAAUAAAAUUCAAAAAGCUUAUUUAUUUUGGCUACAAAUUUGCCGGAGUGUUAUAGAUGUGCAUACCAUUUCGUGAAGGAAUAACAUAAAUGGUGGUCAGGACAAACGAAAAUUGAUCAUUUUUAAAGCUUCUUGGAGCAUCGAUUUUGUUUAAUAUUGUGCAAAUCAUCACAAAUAUUAUUUCUUCAUGAAAUUUUGCACAUAACCAAAAAAAAGUAAUUUUGUUGGGGAGCAGGAUUGCACAUCUGAUGUAAGAUAAAGAUAUAAGUACUGUUAGACAUGAGACCUACUCGCGCACAUGUCAAUCUCAACAUGCAUCUUGUUGUUCCGUGCAACGCAUGGGCAUCUUACUAGUGUUAUCCUAAAAUUGGCUAACUAUGGCUCAUAUUGUUUUCCCCAGGUAGCUCAUGGCGAGUGAUGCGUGAGCCGUCCUGAUCCUUUUGCUAUGUUAUUAUAUUUUAGCCAUGAAGGAUUUACUGCUUGUCAGUUCGUAGUGGUUCCGGCUGUUUGCUGAACUUUUGUUCUUGCUUGUGCUAUUUUUUUUACUGUUUAGAUGGCUCAAUUUACUUCCAAUUUUACUCUUGAGUUUUCCCAUGCAUGCAUACUCUUAUACCCCUCCUACUUGCUUGUUGGUUCUACGCUCUGCCUUUGUGAGGUGUAAUUAUUAAAUUUUGUUCAUAGUCGAGCAUUGGAUGAUAUUGUAUUUGUCAUGAUGUACAUGGUUCAUGAACUAUGCCAACCUGCA